AGAGUUUGAUCAUGGCUCAGAAUCAACGCUGGCGGCGCUAACACAUGCAAGUCGCACGAGAAAGUGGAGCAAUCCAUGAGUAAAGUGGCGUACGGGUGAGUAACACGUGGAUCAUCUACCUCUUGGUGGGGAAUAACCUUGGGAAACCGGGGCUAAUACCGCAUAAGCCUGGAAAGGGAAAGCAGCAAUGCGCCGAGAGAGGAGUCCGCGGCCGAUUAGCUAGUUGGUAGGGUAAUGGCCUACCAAGGCAAUGAUCGGUAGCCGGCCUGAGAGGGCACACGGCCACACUGGCACUGAAACACGGGCCAGACUCCUACGGGAGGCAGCAGUGGGGAAUCUUGCACAAUGGGGGAAACCCUGAUGCAGCGACGCCGCGUGAGCGAUGAAGCCCUUCGGGGUGUAAAGCUCUUUCGGCAGGAACGAUAAUGACGGUACCUGAAGAAGAAGCUGCGGCUAACUACGUGCCAGCAGCCGCGGUAAUACGUAGGCAGCAAGCGUUGUUCGGAGUUACUGGGCGUAAAGAGUGUGUAGGCGGUUCUCUAAGUUCGGUGUGAAAUCUCCCGGCUCAACUGGGAGGGUGCGCCGGAAACUGGAGGGCUUGAGUAUGGGAGAGGAAAGCGGAAUUCCUGGUGUAGCGGUGAAAUGCGUAGAUAUCAGGAGGNNNNCCUGCGGUGUAGACAGCUUUCUGGACCAUCACUGACGCUGAGACACGAAAGCGUGGGUAGCAAACAGGAUUAGAUACCCUAGUAGUCC
rnacentral:rRNA from 1 species